AGACUAGGAAAAGUUGAGGAAUUGUUUCUUAAUGUAGUUAGCAUUUUACUUGGACUUCUCUGAACAAAGCAUUGCUCCAAAGAUGCAUUUGGAGAAGAAUCCUGAUUGUAUGAAGCCUUGGACGGUGACGCGUACGCACCACUUUUGGGUGAGGUUACUGUGCGACUAACAACGGUAGUACCUUUUUCGGGCGUUUUUACAUGAUAAUAUGGAUACUUUUUCAAUCUACCAUCGUGUACUUCAGUGCUGAUACUUGUCUUGAAACGACUAGGAAUAGUAUCUUUUGGCAUCUCAUAAACACGGGUACUUGUUUCAAUGUACUCGAUAGUACUUCUGGAAUUUUUGGGUUGUAUGUCACUCUUCUCCUUUGGCAAUUCGGAUUCUUUAAGGUUGGCUUGGUCUUCAUUCUCGGUUGAUUGAUUUUCGGUACAAAGUCUUUCAGGUGUCUCUUUUGGUGCUUUUACUAAUGGAGAAGCUGAGGAUUUGGUAGGGGAAGCGAGAGACGAACCAGCUCGGUCAUAACUUGGCUGUUUGGCCGUGUAUUUGGCUUUCGAAUUUUUCCCUUCGCUUAAAUAUUUCGAUCUCCAACUGUUUUCCUUACCUGCACUACCAGCUUUCGGUGAU